UACGUAGGGUGCAAGCGUUAAUCGGAGUUACUGGGCGUAAAGCGUGCGCAGGCGGUUGUGCAAGACAGAUGUGAAAUCCCCGGGCUCAACCUGGGAACUGCAUUUGUGACUGCACAGCUUGAGUGCGGCAGAGGGGGAUGGAAUUCCGCGUGUAGCAGUGAAAUGCGUAGAUAUGCGGAGGAACACCGAUGGCGAAGGCAAUCCCCUGGGCCUGCACUGACGCUCAUGCACGAAAGCGUGGGGAGCAAACAGG
rnacentral:rRNA from 1 species